rnacentral:lncRNA from 1 species
UGAUGCAAAGAGAGAAGAGAAGACUUUGUCAGAUUGUAUUGCAGACAAACGCGUUGGGAAGAAGCGUAAGGUUGAGUCUUUGGAAUCAGGUAAGCCUGAGAAAAAGAUCAAGAAGGUGACUGAACCAUGUUUUUUAAUGGGAGCUAUCCCUUUGAGAAUGGAAAGCGAGAUGAUGACUCAUACACUAAGCCUAAAGAGAACACCUCAACCACUCAACUUGGAGCACUCAAAUUAUGAAGAUUUUGAGAAGUUUUUAGAGGAAACGUGUUGCAGUAACCUCAA